CAGCCCCUUGUACUCCACUUCUAGGUCGUCCACUUGCACUUCUUCCUCUUCCUCUUCCUCUUCCUCUUCCUCUUCCUCUUGUUGCAGCCCCUUCUAUUCCACUCUCACUCUCAGGUGCUGCACUUGCACUUCUUCCUCUUCCUCUUCCUCUUCCUCUUGUUGUAGCCCCUUCUAUUUCACUCUCACUCUCAGGUGCUGCACUUGCACUUCUUCCUCUUCCCCUUCCCCUUCCCCUUCCCCUUCAUCAGAAUCAGAGGAUGCAGCCAAGUCACUGUCAUAGCUACUAUCACUUGCUGCCACA
rnacentral:lncRNA from 1 species